UACGUAGGGGGCAAGCGCUGUCCGGAUUUAUUGGGCGUAAAGCGCGCGCAGGCGGUCUUUUAAGUCUGAUGUGAAAGCCCACGGCUCAACCGUGGAAGGUCAUUGGAAACUGGGAGACUUGAGUGUAGGAGAGGAAAGUGGAAUUCCACGUGUAGCGGUGAAAUGCGUAGAGAUGUGGAGGAACACCAGUGGCGAAGGCGACUUUCUGGCCUAUAACUGACUCUGAGGCGCGAAAGCGUGGGGAGCAAACAGG
rnacentral:rRNA from 1 species